AUCGCAUUGCGGAGAGCCUGCGCAUGUGCUGUCCAAAUCAUUUUCUAGGCUAUGCAAAGAACAACAUAGCUAACUCAAAACAAGAUCAAACCCAAUUCACUGUAGCUAUUUGCCUUGGAGAGUAAUUGUAGAAUCAAUGAUGGAAGCAGAACAAACAGUGACAAGACUUGUACAAGCUCUAGCAUAUCAAUUACAUGAAAUUUGAGGAAUUGGAGAAAGAGUUCAAUGUUUG
rnacentral:misc_RNA from 1 species